CAUCUUCUCCGAUGUAUAGAUUUGCUUGCUUUGCCAAACUUUAUCAACCAUUCUUCAAUGUUCUAUCCACUUUCCCUUGAUCCUUCUCCUAUAUAAAUCUCUAUGUACAAAACUAAAUCCACCCAAAAUCAAAACAUACUCUGAAGAAGUUACAUCCAUCGACACUUUAGUCUAAACCUAUCUGCACGAUCUCUUCUUCUACUCCGCGACCGUCAAAUAAAAAAUGCAAUUCCUCCGGUAAAAGCUCAGUCAUGGUCGAAGUUCCUUCACCGCUGAAUCAUCAUCAUCCAGGUUCUUACCUUGUGACGUCUCUCACCUUUGUCGAUCCAUCGAGAAUCUCCUGUAAAAAAACUCAGUUCCCGUUGAUGGAGAGAUUGUGAAGAAGGUUGGUCAAUCUGUUUCCUGUAGGUAAAAGAUUUAUGUGUUGUUGUGCUAGAACUGUUUCAGAUUUCAAGUGAUUGGUCUUCUGAAGAACUAUGCUUUUGUGUGCGAGCACAACGAGUGUUUGGGAAUAAAUGGACUGAGAUACAAAGGUGGAUUCAGGCAGAAAGGAUAAGGCUGUGAACAGGUUUACGAGACUUCGUGUGAAGAGAGCCAACCAUGAACCUAUGGCUAGCGAGAACAACUCAAACAAGAAAAGAAUGUUCUUCUUACAAUAUGAAACUUCUAUUGCCAAUAGAACAAGGAUCUAGCUCCAUGUAAGUUCUUCUCUUCCAGGAUAUAUGCCUAAGAUUACACGUUAUGUCUCCACAGUGAGUUAUUUAUGAGCAUCACAAGGUGGAAACUUUCCUCACUCCCUCAUGAGUGACUGAAGGACAAUCUAAAACUAUUAGCCUGGACAAGCAAAAGUUAACAAUCCUCUUUGACAACCCCAACAUCUGAAAAUGGAAGGAAAAAGCCUUUUGCUGGAUCCUUUUCAUGCAGAAGGAAUCGUCCGUCAGAAAAUGUAAGAGCUCUAUAUUAAUUGGCUUCCUUAUCUGCUUAAUUUUAGUUUGGACAGUGGUGUUGAUGAGCUUGGUUCGAAAUUGCGGGUGGCGACAAGAAGCGAAGAGGUGGGAGCUUAGCGCCUAGCGCCAUGGCGGUACAAAGCGAGCGCUUUGUCUACCUGCAACAGAACAAGGCACAACUAAACGCCGCUUUUAGCGCUCUAUGGAUAUUGCAAAAGCGAGGAAAAAGCGAGAAAAGCUAGGGAUCUAUGUACCUCGCCUGGCAAGGGUGUCCCUAAGCGUUGAGGGCAUCGCCUUGGGCGCCUUAGCGCCAUGGCGACAAAAACUCUCGCUUUUUCGAACCAAGUUGAUGAGGGUUGAAACGGUGGCUAUUGAUGCAGCCAAAGACAUGGUACUGUCAAAGGAACAAUGGAUGUUAAAGAACUUGUGCUUUUACUGGCCAAAAACUCAAUGAACCAUCAAUCUCUUCUUCUGGUCAAAGACUGUGCCACCCCUCCCGCCUUAAAGAAAGAAGUCUCGGCUGCAGGAGAAAGAGACAAAGAAGGAAGGGAAGUUGGAGAGAAGAAAACAGAGGGUGGCUAGAAGAAGAAAGAAGUUGGAGCUGGCAGGAAGAAGAAGAAAGAAGCCAGGCACGGUGAGAAGAAGUGACUCCCUGGUCAAAUCAUUGUCACAUGAAAGAUUAUAAGUUCAUACAAGUAUAUGCAGUCUUAAAAUUUUCUGACGGACAUCUCUAUAACUAUAAUUUUCAACUACUACCAAAAUAAAACUUGAAAGGAACGAGAAAGAUUGUAUACACUCUAAUCUAAUAAAGUUUUAACUAUUAUUCUUAA